AGUGAACGCUGGCGGUAGGCCUAACACAUGCAAGUCGAACGGCAGCACAGUAAGAGCUUGCUCUUACGGGUGGCGAGUGGCGGACGGGUGAGGAAUACAUCGGAAUCUACUUUUUCGUGGGGGAUAACGUAGGGAAACUUACGCUAAUACCGCAUACGACCUACGGGUGAAAGCAGGGGAUCUUCGGACCUUGCGCGAUUGAAUGAGCCGAUGUCGGAUUAGCUAGUUGGCGGGGUAAAGGCCCACCAAGGCGACGAUCCGUAGCUGGUCUGAGAGGAUGAUCAGCCACACUGGAGCUGAGACACGGUCCAGACUCCUACGGGAGGCAGCAGUGGGGAAUAUUGGACAAUGGGCGCAAGCCUGAUCCAGCCAUACCGCGUGGGUGAAGAAGGCCUUCGGGUUGUAAAGCCCUUUUGUUGGGAAAGAAAAGCAGCAGGUUAAUACCCCGCUGUCCUGACGGUACCCAAAGAAUAAGCACCGGCUAACUUCGUG
rnacentral:rRNA from 1 species